ensembl:snRNA U6 U6 spliceosomal RNA
AUGCUUGCUUCAGCAACACAUAUACUAAAAUUGGAAGGAUACAGAGAUUAGCAUGGCCCCAGCGCAAGAAUGACACCCAAAUUCGUGAAGCCUUUCAUAGUUAA